UACGUAGGGACCGAGCGUUGUCCGGAAUCAUUGGGCGUAAAGAGCGUGUAGGCGGCCACUUAAGUCCUGCGUGAAAUCCUGCGGCUCAACCGCAGGCGUCGUGGAAACUGGGUGCUAGAGUGCGGGAGAGGAGAGUGGAAUUCCUGGUGUAGCGGUGGAAUGCGCAGAUAUCAGGAGGAACACCGGUGGCGAAGGCGGUCUCUGGGCAACAACUGACGCUGAGGAGCGAAAGCGUGGGAGCGAACAGG
rnacentral:rRNA from 1 species